GUUUUUAUUUUAUUUUUCGUUUCUAGAUCCAAACCUUUAAUUCUGUUAUUUUCUUAUUUUUUUUCCAGGAAUGCAGGUUUUCUUAGGCAAGAUUCUGCCUGGGAUUUCACGGAACAAGAUAUUGUGCAAAUUCAGUCCCUGAAGUUUUGACCUUACUUCUCUUUUACUAUUCGUUUUCAUUAUUUAUUAGGAAUAGGAUAUUUUUGGUGCUUU
rnacentral:lncRNA from 1 species